CAGUUUGGAGGGGAUCCCUGACAUGCUUGAGGCAGAGGAAAACGAAGAGAAGGGAGCCGCAGGGAAAGGAAGAGAUGGGGAGAAAGUGAAUAACUCUUUCGGCUCACAGGAUUCAGACGCUGAUCCCUGCCCCGUGGAGACUGGUCCUGGGCUCAGGUAAGCUUAUCUCUCCAAACAGCCGAAUGACCAGCGCAUGAAGAUGUUUCUAAAAGAGGCCUUUCCCUAGCAUCGUCCUG